rnacentral:lncRNA from 1 species
GGAAAUAAACACCGACUUAGUUUUGCUUUGUGGCCUUUGUUACUUGAGUAAGUAUGCUCGAGAGAAUGUUUUUACACUUAGCGCUCUAAAGUCUGACGGUUUGGGUGUCGUUGGUUGAAAGCUCAUUAAGGGAUAACAUUGAAAAGCCUAAGGGGGUGGACAUUGCAAGAGUCAGGUAUAUUAAAUAAUUGGUGGGAUGGAGCAUCAAAAUGCACCCGCUGUGAAUAAAGUGAUUUCUCUUGUGUUUAUGUGAAUGCCAAGUUUGGUCAAUAAGUGGUGGAAAGGGUGAUUGCAUGAGUUUGAUCC